GGAAGUUAGAUAAGUUUCAUUUCCAAUAUUUUAAUGACAGUAUAAAAGAAAAAAUAAAUCGUUUGGUCUAUAAGCAUAAAAAUGCAUUUAACUUUAUUUUCACUUUGUAGAAAUAUUUAUGUCUAGUCAAAACAAGCACGUUAAUACAGAUUAUAUUUUAUUAAACAAACCAAACAAAAUGCAAAAUGAUUGUUUUCAAAAAUAUCAUAUUAUUCUAUUUAAAUUAACAUUUAAAAUAAAGUUAUUAUAUUUAGUACAUCAUAAUCGCAGUUUAAUAAAGACAUUACAUUUUGUCCACAAAUAAGUUACUUAUAAAAGAGCUUUUAAGAGUAAUCAAUAGAACUGCAAAAGUGAAGGUUAGACAGUCACAAGGCGUUAGGUUAAUUAUUUUGAAUCGGGAAUAGGAACUACAAAAAGCAAUACUAUUUUAGUAAUAAUGUUGCUGGAUCUUUAUCUAAUUAUUAUAUUUUUGUUUAUUGAAGUUUUUUAUUAAUCAAAAUAUAUGCUUUUGCAAGAUCGAUUUUAAGUAAGUAUAUUUUGAUUUAAAUGUCACUAGGACAAAGUCGGGUAACGUAGGCACUAGGCAGGUCUCCACCUUUAUUACCAUUCGUUAUCAUUAUUAUUUUUUUAAUUUCUCUUCAUGACAACUACUCUAUAUUAUGAGUACAUCAGAAAUAUUAAUUUAUUUUUAAUCCAGCAACAGAAUUUGGUCAAGAUACAUACACAAACAUCUCAUUCGUAUGGACACUCCUUACAAUAAAGGUUACUUAUAGUUAUAGCGUCCGAUCGAAGGUCGAUUUGUGUCGGAAGCCGAAGGUUAAAAUAACCCAAGAAGACUUCAAUAUUAGCCAAAAUUUCGGCCUAUUUUGGCCGAAACGGAAGGUUCGGCCGGACACUUUAUUACUACAUACUUACUUAACAUAAAAAUCUAAAGGUCUAUCAGUCGUUAAGUUUUUGGCCUUAUAUUACUCAAUUUUUUAACAAGAAUGGUGGGAGAAAUAUUUUUGUGUUUAUUUAAACCUUGUUUUUUUUUGGAUGGUAAGUAAUAAUAUUUUGACAAAAUUAUAUAAUUAUAACUUACCAAUCUAAAAGGCUGUUAUUCUAAAUAGUAAACAGUUUUAACGACUGGCAAACCACAACUGUAUUAUCAAUACUUCAUACAGACGAUAAUAGUUGGUGAUCACUCUAGCAAUAAUAUAUAUUAUUUUGUCCUUAAUGUUACUUCAUUUAUUAAAUUUUUCUAAUAUCUAUAUUAAACUACUUACUUCCUAAUGCAUUCCCAGUCUACAAGUUCACGAAAACUAAACGAAGUAUCUCAAGUAACAAUUCUUAUUACUAUGUUCAAAUAAUGUAAAAUAGCUGACACAAAUUUUGAUAGCAAAAGUAGUAUGAAAUAUUUUUCUUCAAAUAUGUAUAAUAAGAAAAUCUAAUGGCGGUUUCACAGUCUGGGAAUACAUUUUACAUGUAGAGUUGCAGCCUCUAUCACACAUUCGCUUAUCUAAAAUCACUAUUACAUGUUUACAAAUGGACUCAAAUUUUAAAUAAUGAAAAAUGCGAGAUAUGGGGCUCUGUAGGGCUCCACUUUAAAUACGUUUGACAACGCACAACAGAGUCCGCUCCCUUGGUUCACUUACCAAGAGGAGUGCUUAGAUUUCAUAUAUUUUUCAAAUACAUAUCGAAAGCUGCGAGAUCGAUGGGAUUUUAACCCACAUCUCUCUGGGAAUAUUUUAUUGCUAUUGAAUAAUAAAAUGAAUUAAUCAAAAUCUCUUGGACUGAGAUCUAUAGAGCGCACUAUGACUUUGCUCCGGCUUAAGACACUGUUAAAACGAAACAGCGUUAUACUGCUGGCAUAAACCUGUCUCGUUUUAACUGAAACUUAAGUCUAAGCAAAGGCAAAGUGCGGUCUAUAGAUUUCAACCUUAGUAAGGCAUACAGACGAGCGGCACUGCCGUCGACGCCUGUCAACGGUAGACGCCAGCGUGUUGAUGUCAACCGUCGACACGCUGACGGCUGUCGUCACGUGUCGUCGGCGUCGCAAUGUCGGCAACAGCUAACAGAAUGCUGCUCGAUGUAAGAACACUUGUAAGAAUUCUUUAAAAAUAUUCUUACAUCGUUACUAGCUCGUCGCCGAACAGUGUUUCAAUGCGGAUUUAUAAUAGAUAUAUAAAGUAAUUUUGGACGUUACUAUUUUCAAAUAUUAUAUUUGAAGUUCAAUUUUUCUUAAUAACUAAAGACUGUCGGAGUAUAAGGCGCUUUCCAUUUAGAACAACGUUUGUUUCCUAAAAGGAGUACUGAAAACUUAUUGGGUAACGCCUUCGGAAGCGAUAAUUUAUUGCUUUUUA